UUGCCAUACGCUAAGAGGCAGAGAAGGGGAUGCAGCCAAGGAUGACUUGCCGGCUCCUGGUGUUGGGGGAAUUGCAGCUUUGUUGAGCCUUGAGUUAGCCGGCAGGUUGUCCUUGGCUACACCUAGUUCUCUUCUUCUGGUGUUUGGCCCU